CCUACGGGUGGCAGCAGUGGGGAAUAUUGGGCAAUGGGCGCAAGCCUGACCCAGCAACGCCGCGUGAAGGAAGAAGGCUUUCGGGUUGUAAACUUCUUUUCUCAGGGACGAAGAAAGUGACGGUACCUGAGGAAUAAGCCACGGCUAACUACGUGCCAGCAGCCGCGGUAAUACGUAGGUGGCAAGCGUUAUCCGGAUUUAUUGGGUGUAAAGGGCGUGUAGGCGGGAGCGCAAGUCAGAUGUGAAAACUCAGGGCUCAACCCUGAGCCUGCAUUUGAAACUGUAGUUCUUGAGUACUGGAGAGGCAGACGGAAUUCCUAGUGUAGCGGUGAAAUGCGUAGAUAUUAGGAGGAACACCAGUGGCGAAGGCGGUCUGCUGGACAGCAACUGACGCUGAGGCGCGAAAGCGUGGGGAGCAAACAGGAUUAGAUACCCGGGUAGUC
rnacentral:rRNA from 1 species